UACGUAGGGAGCAAGCGUUGUCCGGAAUCAUUGGGCGUAAAGGGCGCGUAGGCGGCCAUGCGUGUCUUCCGUGAAAUCCCUCGGCUUAACUGAGGACGUGCGGAAGAAACUGCAAGGCUCGAGUCCGGGAGAGGGGGGUGGAAUUCCCAGUGUAGCGGUGAAAUGCGUAGAUAUUGGGAGGAACACCGGUGGCGAAGGCGGCCCCCUGGACCGGUACUGACGCUGAGGCGCGAAAGCGUGGGUAGCAAACGGG
rnacentral:rRNA from 1 species